rnacentral:lncRNA from 1 species
GGAAUAGAGCUGUACCUGGCUUCAGGCGAGACUUGGAGCUCAAAACUUUCAGUAGGACAGCCAGGCGCGGUGGCUGAUGCCUGUAAUCCCAGCACUUUGGGAGGCCGAGAUUCUUGUGCUGUCACUCAGGCUGGAGUGCAACGUUGAAAUCUCGGCUCACUGCAACUUCUGCCUCCCGGAUUCAGGCAAUUCUUGUGUCUCAGCCUCCUAAGAAGCUGAGAUUACAGCAACUCCAAAAUGGAAGUACUAUUGUUAUCUCCGUUUACAAAUUAGGAAACUGAGGCACAGAUAUGCUCUUGGGUACUUGUCAGCAGCAGUUGUUCUACAAGCUAAAUAUCUGGAUAUCUUAAAUCUCAGAUGAGCGUCUUAGCCUCUGGAUUACUGCUCAAUGAGGAAAGCUAUGAAAUGCAUGGAUAACUUGCUAAUCAGUAUUUGCCAUAUGUGCUAGCAGCAUCAGCAUCAGUUGGGAGAUUAUGGUGGCCUCCAUGUCAGACCUCCUAAAUCGGAAUAUCAGAGAAGGUGGCCCAGGUUACCAUGCUUCAUCUGCCAAUGCAUUGAAAACUUGGAAUGUAAAUUAAUUCAACCAUUGUGGAAGAUGGUGUAGUGAUUCCUCAAAGACCUAGAAGCAGAAAUAUCAUUUGAUCCAGAAAUCCCAUUACUGUGUAUACACCCAAAGGAAUAUAAACCAUUCUAUUACAAA